rnacentral:rRNA from 1 species
AACGAACGCUGGCGGCGGGCUUAACACAUGCAAGUCGAGCGCCCCGCAAGGGGAGCGGCAGACGGGUGAGUAACGCGUGGGAACGUACCCUUUGCUACGGAAUAGCUCCGGGAAACUGGAAUUAAUACCGUAUGUGCCCUACGGGGGAAAGAUUUACCGGCAAAGGAUCGGCCCGCGUUGGAUUAGCUAGUUGGUGGGGUAAUGGCCUACCAAGGCGACGAUCCAUAGCUGGUCUGAGAGGAUGAUCAGCCACAUUGGGACUGAGACACGGCCCAAACUCCUACGGGAGGCAGCAGUGGGGAAUAUUGGAAAAUGGGCGCAAGCCUGAUCCAGCCAUGCCGCGUGAGUGAUGAAGGCCUUAGGGUUGUAAAGCUCUUUCACCGGAGAAGAUAAUGACGGUAUCCGGAGAAGAAGCCCCGGCUAACUUCGUGCCAGCCGCCGCCGUAAGAC